GCGCUCGUAGCUCAGCUGGAUAGAGUACCUGGCUACGAACCAGGUGGUCGGAGGUUCGACUCCUUCCGAGCGCGCCA
rnacentral:tRNA from 1 species